UACGUAGGGCGCGAGCGUUGUCCGGAUUUAUUGGGCGUAAAGAGCUCGUAGGCGGCUUGUCGCGUCGAAUGUGAAAUCUCAGGGCUCAACUCUGACAUUGCAUUCGAUACGGGCAGGCUAGAGUUCGGUAGGGGAGACUGGAAUUUCUGGUGUAGCGGUGAAAUGCGCAGAUAUCAGGAGGAACACCGGUGGCGAAGGCGGGUCUCUGGGCCGAUACUGACGCUGAGGAGCGAAAGCGUGGGGAGCGAACAGG
rnacentral:rRNA from 1 species